UGUUGGUUAACCCUUGCUAAGUGUGUUUUCCUGUUUCCCUGGAUGUUAUUAAAGACUGUAUGUUUGAAUUGGACUCCUCGUUCCUCACUCUGUGCUCCUCACAGUAGCUGACUGUGACCAAAUUCCAGACCAAAAAGAAGUGAGAGGUGUCUCUCCUCCCUGUGUUUCUUUUCCGUUUUUGAAAGUUUUGUGGGUUUCCUGUUUCUCUCCACAGCCAUGGAAAUAGCCGCUCGGUUCUCCGCUCUGGCCCGCAGGGAUCUUCCCUUCAAAGAGUUUGCCUGGGAAUUCUGCAGGCUCGCCUACGUUAAGCCCACCAGCCGCCGCUGACUCAGGCUUACCGGCCUCUGCUGACUCAGCUCUCUUGGACAUGGCACUACUUCCAGAGUUCUCGGCUCCUGUACUCACCCCAGAAUCCGCUCCAGAAAGUUCUCCUUCAUCUCCGGUGGUCCCGUCCAGCUCUUCAUCAUCCUUUGACCCUCCUUCAUCUCCUGAUUCCCCCGAGUUAGCCAGCCCUGCACCUCCAGAGCGCCCUCCAGUGGCUGGGGGGGGGGUAUGCCCAUGGCUGUGGUGGCCAAUCCGGCUAAGGUCACGGAGGAUCCGCUAUGGCCUCCUGAGUCCCUUAAUCCACCAUGGCCUCCUGAGUCCCCUGCACCGCCAUGACCCCUAGAGCUUCCAGCCCCACCAUGGCAACAUGAACUGCCUGCUCCGCCCUGGCUCCCGGAGCAGAAUAAUCAAAUGUCAGAAGAAUAAUAAUUAGAAAUGUACAAACCACCAAUUUGCAUUUCAAUCCAAAUUCAAGGUCAUAAUAAAAUGAAGUCAGAUUAGAGUUUAACUUAAAUUUAUUAACUUUGAGCAUUAAAAAGAAGGAACACACAGGAAACCUUCAGCCACCAUACCUUCGUUGGGCCAAUUGUGUGGACCUUACACAUGCAGUGUAACACAAGGCUAGGCACUACUUCCACUCGUGGUUUCACAAAUCCAGUUUCACAUCGCAUGCAUGAGCAGCGCAUGUUUU
ensembl:lncRNA